UGAUUUUAUCUAUCUAUCUAUCUAGAGAGAGAGAGAAAGAGAGAGAGAAAGUACAGAUUGUUACAUUAGAUAUAGUAUUUCCCCAUGAAAUCUGUGUUAUAUAACAAAAUAACCCACCCUACCUAAUCCCCUAAAAUGCAGCCCCAUACUCCGGUGGUACCUGUGAUUAUACAGAAUUACGUAAUCUGGGGCACUGCAGUUUACAUGACAUGGUAAUUGGGAAGGUUUCCCAACCGGGGAAUCCCUCCUGGGAAAAAAUGGAUCAUCAGUAAGAAGCAAUCUUCGCAAGCUUCUUGGGUGUUCCUUCCAAGAUGCAGGACACCCAAGCACUUCUUUUGUGAAAGAAGGAGCAGUAAGAAGUAUGGCAAGUAUGACUUGGGGGAAAAAGUGAAAAGGACACACCCGUCUUGCAACCCUGGAGGAUUCUCUUCUGAAUAGCUCCUAAGAAGCAGAUUUUAUACAUCAAGGACAACAGAGAUAUGAGAAGCCCAGAAAACCCAACAAGAUUCCACAAAUAGAGUCCUGGCUCUUCAUCAUCAUCAGCAGUAGUUUAAGAAUCAAUGAAGCUUGGUGUUAUAUUUGAAAAAGAAGUGAGAACCUGCUCUCAUUUCUGCUUUCAUUCAGGACAAUGAAGAGCUUCUGUCAGGCACAGAAGCGGCCUGUGAACUGACAAGCAUUGUCCCAGGAAACCUAAGCGGGAACAGUCUCCUCUCUCUGCCCAGCAAGCAACCAGCUUGAGAAAAAAGAGUGGCAGGAUUCACAGAAAGAGCCAAUGCAAAUCUGCUCAUGAGCAAGGAUGGUGUGUAUGAGCCUUUUUGAAGGAAAGAGAUGGCAGAAGCAGGAAUUUGCAUCUGGAUAGGCCUUGUGCUACAUUGGUAGGACCUGACUCCUCGCAUCAUCAAAAGCCAGCAAUACUGACAGAAAGAAUUUAGUGAAUAUAGCUACCCGUAAACUACAGUGACAGUAAGGGAUACGCUUAGACCACUGCUACUAAGAGAUCAUUCCAUCAAUAUACUCUUUUUUUCUUCCACCCUCAAAUGUGAAGGUGCUGGAGAACAGCCUUGGAGACGUGGAUUGUUCACAGAAGCAAUAUGUCACAAGCCAAAGGAUCAGUACCUAGAGGCCCCACCUGAGAUCCCCACCGCAUAGUGCUAGGAGCUGUAUAAACACACAGGGAGAGAGCCCCUGCCCCGAAGAGCUUACAAUCUGGUCAGGACGGACAAAUGGCAGCAGGAGAAAAAGGCUCUCAGAGGUCUUUCCAAAGGUCACAAAGCAGAAAAUUUUUCACUGCAAGAGCCCCAGCCUUCCGUACAGUGCCCUGGCCAGCUGUAAGGAGGAUGUCAGACUGCCCUGGAGAACUCAAGGUACCACUGCUUUGCUCAUCACUCAGGGUUGAACCAG